rnacentral:rRNA from 1 species
CCAAUAGCGUAUAUUAAAGUUGUUGCAGUUAAAAAGCUCGUAGUUGGAUUUCGGGGUCAGUAGGUUGGUCAUGCCACUGGUAUGUACUGGUCUUACUGAUUCCUCCUUCCUGAUGAACCGUAAUGCCAUUAAUUUGGUGUUGCGGGGAGACUGGACUGUUACUUUGAAAAAAUUAGAGUGUUUAAAGCAGGCUAACGCUUGAAUACAUUAGCAUGGAAUAAUGAAAUAGGACGUUCGAUCCUAUUUUGUUGGUUUCUAGGAUAGACGUAAUGAUUAAUAGGGAUAGUUUGGGGCAUUAGUAUUCAAUUGUCAGAGGUGAAAUUCUUGGAUUUAUUGAAGACUAACUACUGCGAAAGCAUUUGCCAAGGAUGUUUUCAUCAAUCAAGAACGAAAGUUAGGGGAUCGAAGACGAUCAGAUACCGUCGUAGUCUUAACCAUAAACUAUGCCGACUAGGGAUCGGAUGAUGUUAAUUUUUUAAUGACUCAUUCGGCGCCUUACG